rnacentral:rRNA from 1 species
AUUGAACGCUGGCGGCAGGCCUAACACAUGCAAGUCGAGCGGAGAUGAGGUGCUUGCACCUUAUCUUAGCGGCGGACGGGUGAGUAAUGCUUAGGAAUCUGCCUAUUAGUGGGGGACAACAUUCCGAAAGGAAUGCUAAUACCGCAUACGUCCUACGGGAGAAAGCAGGGGAUCUUCGGACCUUGCGCUAAUAGAUGAGCCUAAGUCGGAUUAGCUAGUUGGUGGGGUAAAGGCCUACCAGGGCGACGAUCUGUAGCGGGUCUGAGAGGAUGGUCAGCCAGACUGGGAAUGAGACACUGCACGAACUCCUACGGGAGGCAGCAGUGGGGAAUAUUGGACAAUGGGCGGUAGCCUGAUCCAGCCAUGCCGCGUGUGUGAAGAAGGCCUUUUGGUUGUAAAGCACUUUAAGCGAGGAGGAGGCUACCUAGAUUAAUACUCUGGGAUAGUGGACGUUACUCGCAGAAUAAGCACCGGCUAACUCUGUGCCAGCAGCCGCCGUAAAAC